rnacentral:rRNA from 1 species
GAUCAUGGCUCAGGAUGAACGCUAGCUACAGGCUUAACACAUGCAAGUCGAAGGGCAGCGGGAUUGAAGCUUGCUUCGAUUGCCGGCGACCGGCGCACGGGUGAGUAACGCGUAUCCAACCUUCCGUACACUCAGGGAUAGCCUUUCGAAAGAAAGAUUAAUACCUGAUGGUAUGAUGAGAUUGCAUGAUAUCAUCAUUAAAGAUUUAUCGGUGUACGAUGGGGA